CAGGGUGACUAACUGUCCCAAUUGCUUAGGACAGAAAGAUCUCCCAGGAUCUGGAGCUUGAAGUGCUUGGGGGAAAAAAAAAAAAAAAAAGAAUGUCCCAGGCCAGCUGGGACAGUGGGUCACCAUGAGCUAAG
rnacentral:miRNA from 1 species